rnacentral:tRNA from 1 species
GUCCCCGUCGUCUAGCCCGGCCUAGGACACCGCCCUUUCACGGCGGUAACACGGGUUCAAAUCCCGUCGGGGACGCCA